rnacentral:rRNA from 1 species
CCUACGGGAGGCAGCAGUGAGGAAUAUUGGUCAAUGGGCUUACGCCUGAACCAGCCAAGUCGCGUGAGGGAAGACUGCCCUAUGGGUUGUAAACCUCUUUUGUCAGGGAGCAACGCCGGCUACGUGUAGCCGUACUGAGAGUACCUGAAGAAAAAGCAUCGGCAAACUCGGUGCCAGCAGCCGCGGUAAUACGGAGGAUGCGAGAGUUAUCCGGAUUUAUUGGGUUUAAAGGGAGCGUAGGUGGGGAUGCAAGUUGGGUGUAAAAACUACCGGCUCAACUGGUAGGCGCACUCAAAACUGCAGCUCUUGAGUGAAGUAGAGGCAGGCGGAAUGCGUAGUGUAGCGGUGAAAUGCGUAGAUAUUAGGAGGAACACCAGUGGCGAAGGCGGCCUGCUGGGCUUUUACUGACGCUGAGGCUCGAAAGUGUGGGGAGCAAACAGGAUUAGAUACCCCUGUAGUC